rnacentral:rRNA from 1 species
CCUACGGGAGGCUGCAGUGGGGAAUAUUGCACAAUGGGCGCAAGCCUGAUGCAGCCAUGCCGCGUGUGUGAAGAAGGCCUUCGGGUUGUAAAGCACUUUCAGCGGGGAGGAAGGCGUUAAGGUUAAUAACCUUGGCGAUUGACGUUACCCGCAGAAGAAGCACCGGCUAACUCCGUGCCAGCAGCCGCGGUAAUACGGAGGGUGCAAGCGUUAAUCGGAAUUACUGGGCGUAAAGCGCACGCAGGCGGUCUGUCAAGUCGGAUGUGAAAUCCCCGGGCUCAACCUGGGAACUGCAUUCGAAACUGGCAGGCUAGAGUCUUGUAGAGGGGGGUAGAAUUCCAGGUGUAGCGGUGAAAAGCGUAGAGAUCUGGAGGAAUACCGGUGGCGAAGGCGGCCCCCUGGACAAAGACUGACGCUCAGGUGCGAAAGCGUGGGGAGCAAACAGGAUUAGAUACCCCAGUAGUC